UACGGGGGGGGCGAGCGUUGUUCGGAAUCACUGGGCGUAAAGGGCGCGUAGGCGGCCCGCACAAGUCUGCGGUGAAAACCCCCGGCUUAACCGGGGGCCGGCCGUGGAAACUGUCGGGCUGGAGGCUGGGAGAGGGCAGCGGAAUUCCCGGUGUAGCGGUGAAAUGCGUAGAUAUCAGGAAGAACACCAAUGGCGAAAGCAGCUCUCUGGGACGGUACUGACGCUGAGACGCGAAAGCGUGGGGAGCGAACAGG
rnacentral:rRNA from 1 species